AUGCACGCUGGCGGCGUGCCUCAUCCCUGCCAGUCGCGCGAACAGACGAGGAGCUUGCUCCUCUGACGUUAGCGGCGGACGGGUGAGUAACACGUGGAUAACCUACCUAUAAGACUGGGAUAACUUCGGGAAACCGGAGCUAAUACCGGAUAAUAUAUUGAACCGCAUGGUUCAAUAGUGAAAGACGGUUUUGCUGUCACUUAUAGAUGGAUCCGCGCCGCAUAGCUAGUUGGUAAGGUAACGGCUUACCAAGGCAACGAUGCGUAGCCGACCUGAGAGGGUGAUCGGCCACACUGGAACUGAGACACGGUCCAGACUCCUACGGGAGGCAGCAGUAGGGAAUCUUCCGCAAUGGGCGAAAGCCUGACGGAGCAACGCCGCGUGAGUGAUGAAGGUCUUCGGAUCGUAAAACUCUGUUAUUAGGGAAGAACAAAUGUGUAAGUAACUAUGCACGUCUUGACGGUACCUAAUCAGAAAGCCACGGCUAACUACGUG
rnacentral:rRNA from 1 species